AGUUGAUCCUGGCUAGAACGAACGCUGGCGGCGUGCUAACACAUGCAAGUCGAACGCGAAAGGGACUUCGGUCCUGAGUAAAGUGGCGCACGGGUGAGUAACGCGUAGAUAACCUGUCUUAUGUCUGGAAUAAUACGCCGAAAGGGGUACUAAUACCGGAUAUUUUUGCAUUGCAUAAGCAGUGUAAGCAAAGGUGGCCUCUGACAUAAGCUACUGCAUAAAGAGGGGUCUGCGUACCAUUAGCUAGUAGGUGGGGUAAAGGCCUACCUAGGCUACGAUGGUUAGCGGGUCUGAGAGGAUGAUCCGCCACACUGGCACUGGAACACGGGCCAGACUCCUACGGGAGGCAGCAGUGAGGAAUAUUGCGCAAUGGGGGCAACCCUGACGCAGCGACGCCGCGUGAAGUGAGGAAGGCCUUCGGGUCGUAAAGCUCUGUCAAAGGGAAAGAAGUGCAUGGUGGUUAAUACCUGCCAUGUUUGACGGUACCCUUAAAGGAAGCACCGGCUAACUCCGUGCCAGCCGCCGC
rnacentral:rRNA from 1 species